AAUAUGUUAGAUAUAAAUCUUUUCAGAAAUCAUGCUGAAAUUGUUCGUGAAUCUCAACGUCGUCGAUUUGCUAAUGUCGAUGUUGUAGAUGAAGUUAUUCAACUUGACAAACAAUGGCGUCAACGACAGUUCGAACUUGAUAAUUUGCGAAAAGAUUUCAAACAGAUCGCCAAAGAAGUUGGCAAGCUA